GGUUCUCUGAUUAACCAUCUUCACCAAGCACAACAAAUACAAGAACUAAGGUCAUAUCACAUACACUGUUCCCACAAACUCAUCAUGGAGAAUGAAAAGAUCAUAAAUCAGUAAGAGGGAUGGUGGCGGUUCCACCGUGCGGCUCCACUCCUGCCCUGCAGCCAUGAUGGGGAGCUGCUCUCUAGUGACAUGCAGUAUUCCCAUGUGUGCGUGGAUAUGGAUCCCAGAGUAAAGGCUGCCACAGGAAACAAAAGAUGGCUUGUAUUAUUGUGACCGAGGGCCCAAAGGCUAAUUAGGCAGAAAAAAAGGCAGCGAAAGCCUGCAAAUCAAUCAUGCUGAUGCUGCCUCUAAAUAAUGAAUGACAAAAUAAUGAAUUUUUCAAACAUU